CCUGAGUUGCCUGGAACAGACAGAUUCCACGAUGCCUUCUUUCCUCCCACCCCAGGGAGACUCAGAGAGCAACUGCCAAGAGCAUUAUUUUCUGGCAUGAACAUGCAACUGACUGAAAAACUCCUUUUUGUUUCUGUGAUCUUAAGCCAAACCACACCAAAUGCCCUUCAAACGAAGUCAAGCGGGCUUCCCAAGGAAAGCCUCUAAGAAGAGCGGAUGCCCUGACCUCGCUGCCAGGAAAGAAAUGGCUAUGAAAAUGGGCUUUGAGGAAUCAAGAACUCAAGCAUGGUUUGAGAAGCAAUGGACCCUAAAUUCUGAGCAUAGAGAAGAGCCCAUGAGUUUAUCAAGACAUGGCACAAAUGAGGGGACACCCCCAGCCACUCAGUGGCAGUACCUCAACAGAGUCACUCCCCCAGUCUGUUGUCUCCCUUCCUCUAAUCCCUGCUGGGAUGACCACGCAUCCCUACCUGCCCCUCUUAGCUCGCAGGCAUUUGUUCCUUGGGAUCCCUCUGGGGUCUUUGGGAGCCAAGUGCCAAGCCCUGCGAUCAUGCAGACCCCAGAAGCUGUGCAGCAAAGACAGAACCCCGAUGCCCCUCUGACUUACAGGAAUCACUCACCAGAACAGCCAGUUGCAGGACAGGAUCUCUCAGAUAGCCAGGCUCCUUUCUAUUCUCAGUCUGGUCCAGAGCAUGAGAACAGACACUCCGAGGACCUAGAUCAUAUCCACGAUGUAGCUUAUAUUAUGCAAUGGUGGGACAAGGGCCGCCUGGAUAUGCUUGCAAGGUGGAACCCUCUGAAAGAGACAUAGUUUGUUCUGUCAUCCCUGUGAGGUUCACCAAAGCCUUAAGCUCUUGUAGUUCAUUGUCUUAUGCGUAUCCUCUCCGUAUCUGAUGAACACUUGUGUUAGUGCCACAAUGAAGUUAUGGUUAUUACUAUAAACAUUUGUGCACGUGUGUUUGUGUGGACUUUAUUAUUAUUAUUAUCAUCAUCAUCAUUGAAUACACAUAACCAGAAGUGUA
rnacentral:lncRNA from 1 species